rnacentral:lncRNA from 1 species
AAGUUGCAAAAACAGUUGAUGUUGAGGAGCUAACCGUGGAGGAAAGGAACCUUCUCUCAGUUGCUUACAAGAAUGUGAUUGGGGCCAGGAGGGCUUCAUGGAGGAUCAUCUCUUCGAUUGAGCAGAAGGAGGAGAGCAGGGGAAAUGAAGACCAUGUCUCAGUAAUUAAGGAGUACAGGAGCAAGAUUGAGAAUGAGCUCAGCAAGAUCUGUGAUGGGAUUCUUAGCCUCCUUGAGUCUCAUCUCAUUCCCUCUGCCUCAUCGGCUGAGUCUAAGGUGUUCUACCUGAAGAUGAAGGGUGAUUACCACAGGUAUCUGGCUGAGUUCAAGACUGGAGCUGAGAGGAAGGAAGCUGCGGAGAGCACUUUGUUGGC